UUGUGUUGAACUUUCCAAUUGAACAACCAUUUUUACCCAAAGAGGUCGGCAUGCCUUGAAAUUAAGAUUGUUACACCACAUCUUAUCCAUGUGUCAUCAAUCGAAUCAGUAACAAAACAUCCCUUAUGGACUUUGAGAUAGAUGUUCUUCAUCCAUGUGACCUUGUACGGAUCUAUGCUUUGGCUUGCUCUUUAGCUUAAACUUAUUGAUACUAUCUUCAAAAAUGAUAUUUGUGCAACUACUGGAGUCAAUACUAAAAGUGCAAAGAUGCCCAAUGCACUGGAUUUAGAUAUUGAAAAG
rnacentral:lncRNA from 1 species